rnacentral:rRNA from 1 species
GGCGAACGGGUGAGUAACACGUGGGUGAUCUGCCUUGCACUCUGGGAUAAGUUUGGGAAACUGGGUCUAAUACCGGAUAGGACCAUGCUUUAGUGUGUGUGGUGGAAAGUUUUUCGGUGCAAGAUGAGCCCGCGGCCUAUCAGCUUGUUGGUGGGGUAAUGGCCUACCAAGGCGACGACGGGUAGCCGGCCUGAGAGGGUGUACGGCCACAUUGGGACUGAGAUACGGCCCAG